AUGAGUGGCUCACAAGAAGAGAUUGUUACAAGAGCUAAGACCAAGCAACAACAACAACAACAGCUGCAGCAGCAACAGCCAAAGAAAAGAGGCUCAAUUUCAGGGGUAACAGCCGGACUAGCAGGAACAACAGGACAAGAUAAAGGAACAGCCGCUUCUAUGGAAGCUGUGACAGAUGCUCUGCUCAAGAUAAACCAAACUCUGGAGUCUUUGACAAAACAGACUUCAGAGAAUACACAAAAAUUAACAGAAAUAUCAGUAAGAUUAAAUCAGAACACAGAAUCUAUAAAUAAAUUGGUGGAGGAAAACGCCACCACGCGCAAAAUUGCUGAAGAGGCUAAAGCGACUGCUGGAGAGACACAGGAGAAACUAGAGCCGAUUGCUAAGAAGGUUUAUGAGCAUGAUGCAACUUUGGCCUUGUGGGACCUACAGAGAAAAGAGAGAAACUUGAAAUUAAGACUGAUUCCGGAGAAUGAAAGAGACAAUCUUGUGGAAUAUUUGACACGUGAGUUUGUGGAUUGUUGGGACCUUGAGGAAGACGAAUUUAAAAUCACGACAGCUUUUAGAUUAGGUAAAAAGCAAGACAGAAAGACCCCGAGAGAUUGUUUGAUCACACUCAGAUCCAAGGAGGAAAGAGACAAAAUAUUAGGACUACACUUUGAAAAGGCCUUGCGAAUUGGAAAUUCAGCUGUACAGAUCUUUAAAGACAUCCCAAAAUACAUUUUGGAUUUAAGAAACUUCUACAAGGAUUUGGUUCUUUUGUUAAAGAAAAAUUCCAUUCGUUUCAGGUGGGAGUUCCCACAAGGACUGUCAUUCGACUACAAGCUAAAGAAGGUGAAAAUAAAGACAAUUCAAGACAAGGAUAAAUUUCUGGCAAGAAACCAGGAGGACCUACAGAAGGGGACUGUGGAUGUAAUUGCAGAACAGAGGAGAGCAUUGGAGAUUUUGAACCUCUCGACCGGACAAAAACCACCACCAUCAGAAGAAGAGCAACAACUUGGAGCUGUUGGAGGAGCUGUUGGAGGAGUUUAGAAAAAUAACAAGAUGGCUCUGCAAUUCCUUAGUUGGAAUUGUAAUGGGCUUAAUGGGCCUUUGAAGAGAAGACAAGUAUUUCAUAUAUUGAACAAAGAACAACUGGACCUGAUAUGUCUACAAGAAACUCACAUAACCAGAGCCCACAGGAGACUACUCAUCAACAAAAGGCUAGGACAAGAAUUUAUUUCAUCAGAUAAAGUUAAGAAAAGAGGAGUUGUAAUAUAUGUGAAAGAGAAAUGGGCCCCAAAAAUGAUAUUCAAGGACGAACAAGGGAGAUACCUGGCAGUGGAAAUACAAGUACAAGGAGAAAAAUUUUUAGUGGUUGGAAUUUAUGCACCGAAUGAAGGCAAAUCUGACUUCUUUAAGAGACUUCACGAAACCCUGACUGACUAUUUGGAUUACAAUAUGAUAAUCAUGGGAGACAUGAAUGGCGUGGUCUCCACUAAUAUGGACAAGGCACAAAGACUAACAGUUAGCAAGGAAGGGAGACUCCCUAAGACUUUUUUUGAAAUGACAGAAAAUAUGGACUUGAUAGAUAUAUGGAGAACAAGGAACCCUCUGGAGAGAGAGGGAACUUUCUUCUCCCAAGCAAUGAUGACCUGGACCAGAAUCGAUCAAAUUUGGAUUACUAGUGGAAUGGCUCCAAAGAUUAAGAAAGUGGAAAUCUGUCCAAAAACUUGCUCCGACCAAACGCCCUGAAGAUGGAGAUGAAAAUCACAAUAACUGGUCAAUUUAGAUGGAGAAUGAAUGACACCCUCUUUCGAGAUAAGGAGAUUCUCACGAAGGCCCAAAAGACUCUAAAAGACUACUUUGAAAUAAAUCUGAGGACCGACGUGGAGAAAAGAGUGAUCUGGGAUGCAAGUAAGGCGGUAAUGAGAGGAUUUUUGAUACAACAAAAUUCAAUAAAGAGGAAAAAACAGAAUGAGAAAAAAGAAAAGAUUUUGGAAAUGAUAAAGGAAGGAGAGAGAAAAUUAAGAACAAAACCAAAGUCUCAGGACAUCUUAAGAGAGAUUAAGUUGUAUCAAACACAAUAUAUGGAAUUGAUGAACCAAGAGAUUGAAUGGAAGAUAAAGCAAAUGAAGCAAAAGACUUUUGAAUCAGCAAAUAAAUGUGGCAAACUCUUGGCAUGGCAACUGAAGAAAAGGCAGAAACUAAAUACAGUUACAAGCCUAGAGGUGGAUGGGAAAAAUAUAUCUAAACCCAAUGAAAUCAGAAACUGCUUUCUAAGUUACUUCAAAAAACUUUACACUCAAGGCCCGCAAAAUGAAGAAGACAUAGAUAAAUUCCUUGGAAAAUAUGGAUUACAAAGUAUCUCUCACCAAAGUAAGAUGGAUUUGAGCCAGAGAAUCUCAGAACAAGAGAUAGAGGCUGCCAUUCAGAAUAUGCAAUUGGGCAAAUCUCCAGGACCGAUGGACUGACUUCCGGAUACUACAAAUCGUUGAAGGAAUGGUUGAUUCAACCAUUAAGAGAAGUUUGUAACGAGAUCCUUGAGGGAAAAAAGGCACCUGAAUCGUGGAAAGAAGCAUAUAUUUCACUCAUACCAAAAUCAGAGACUGAAAAGACUCAACUCAAGAACUACCGCCCAAUAUCAUUGCUUAAUGUGGAUUACAAAAUUUUUGCAGACAUUUUGGCAA
rnacentral:lncRNA from 1 species